UACGUAGGGUGCAAGCGUUGUCCGGAAUUAUUGGGCGUAAAGAGCUCGUAGGCGGUUUGUCGCGUCGGCUGUGAAAACCUAAGGCUCAACCUUGGGCUUGCAGUGGGUACGGGCAGACUAGAGUGCGGUAGGGGUGACUGGAAUUCCUGGUGUAGCGGUGGAAUGCGCAGAUAUCAGGAGGAACACCGAUGGCGAAGGCAGGUCACUGGGCCGCAACUGACGCUGAGGAGCGAAAGCAUGGGGAGCGAACAGG
rnacentral:rRNA from 1 species